rnacentral:rRNA from 1 species
UCGGCUUAGAGUUUGAUCAUGGCUCAGGACGAACGCUGGCGGCGUGUCUAAUACAUGCAAGUCGAACGAAUUGGUGCUUGCAUCAUUGAGUGGCGAACUGGUGAGUAACACGUGGGAAACCUGCCCAGAAGCGGGGGAUAACACCUGGAAACAGAUGCUAAUACCGCAUAACAACUUGACCGCAUGGUCCGAGUUGAAAGAUGUUCGUAUCACUUUUGGAUGGUCCCGCGGCGUAUUAGCUAGAUGGUGGGGUAACGGCUCACCAUGGCAAUGAUACGUAGCCGACCUGAGAGGGUAAUCGGCCACAUUGGGACUGAGACACGGCCCAAACUCCUACGGGAGGCAGCAGUAGGGAAUCUUCCACAAUGGACGAAAGUCUGAUGGAGCAACGCCGCGUGAGUGAAGAAGGGUUUCGGCUCGUAAAACUCUGUUGUUAAAGAAGAACAUAUCUGAGGUAAUUCAGGUAUUGACGGUAUUUAACCAGAAAGCCACGGCUAACUACGUGCCAGCAGCCGCGGUAAUACGUAGUGGCAAGCGUUGUCCGGAUUUAUUGGGCGUAAAGCGAGCGCAGGCGGUUUUUUAAGUCUGAUGUGAAAGCCUUCGGCUCAACCGAAGAAGUGCAUCGGAAACUGGGAAACUUGA